rnacentral:rRNA from 1 species
UACGUAGGGAGCAAGCGUUGUCCGGAAUCAUUGGGCGUAAAGCGCGCGUAGGUGGCUUCGUAAGUCCGUUGUGAAAAGUCAAAGGCUCAACCUUUGAAAGCCGAUGGAUACUGCGGAGCUAGAGUACGGAAGAGGCGAGUGGAAUUCCUGGUGUAGCGGUGGAAUGCGCAGAUAUCAGGAGGAACACCAAUAGCGAAGGCAGCUCGCUGGGACGUUACUGACACUGAGGCGCGAAAGCGUGGGGAGCGAACAGG